UGGGGAAUUUUGGACAAUGGGCGAAAGCCUGAUCCAGCAAUGCCGCGUGUGUGAAGAAGGCCUUCGGGUCUGAUAAGCACUUUUGUCCGGAAAGAAAUCCUUGGCUCUAAUACAGUCGGGGGAUGACGGUACCGGAAGAAUAAGCACCGGCUAACUACGUGCCAGCAGCCGCGGUAAUACGUAGGGUGCAAGCGUUAAUCGGAAUUACUGGGCGUAAAGCGUGCGCAGGCGGUUUGCUAAGACCGAUGUGAAAUCCCCGGGCUCAACCUGGGAACUGCAUUGGUGACUGGCAGGCUAGAGUAUGGCAGAGGGGGGUAGAAUUCCACGUGUAGCAGUGAAAUGCGUAGAGAUGUGGAGGAAUACCGAUGGCGAAGGCAGCCCCCUGGGCCAAUACUGACGCUCAUGCACGAAAAGCGUGGGGAGCAAAACAGGAUUAGAUACCCUGGUAGUCCACGCCCUAAACGAUGUCAACUAGUUGUUGGGGAUUCAUUUCCUUAGUAACGUAGCUAACGCGUGAAGUUGACCGCCUGGGGAGUACGGUCGCAAGAUUAAAACUCAAAGGAAUUGACGGGGUCAUAGCUGUUUCC
rnacentral:rRNA from 1 species